UACAGAGGUCCCAAGCGUUGUUCGGAUUCACUGGGCGUAAAGGGUGCGUAGGUGGUGGGGUAAGUUUGAUGUGAAAUCUCCGAGCUUAACUCGGAAAUGGCAUUGAAUACUACUCUGCUAGAGGGUCGGAGGGGAGACUGGAAUUUUCGGUGUAGCAGUGAAAUUCGUAGAUAUUCGGAAGAACACCAGUGGCGAAGGCGGCUCACUGGCCCGGUACUGACGCUGAUGUGCGAAAGCGUGGGGAGCAAACAGG
rnacentral:rRNA from 1 species